UAGCCAGCAUGUCUAGUAUAGCAAUUUAACAGUGAAACUGCGAAUGGCUCAUUAAAUCAGUUAUCGUUUAUUUGAUAGUACCUUACUACUCGGAUAACCGUGGUAAUUCUAGAGCUAAUACAUGCUUAAAAUCCCGACUGUUUGGAAGGGAUGUAUUUAUUAGAUAAAAAAUCAAUGUCUUCGGACUCUUUGAUGAUUCAUAAUAACUUUUCGAAUCGCAUGGCCUUGUGCUGGCGAUGGUUCAUUCAAAUUUCUGCCCUAUCAACUUUCGAUGGUAGGAUAGUGGCCUACCAUGGUUUCAACGGGUAACGGGGAAUAAGGGUUCGAUUCCGGAGAGGGAGCCUGAGAAACGGCUACCACAUCCAAGGAAGACAGCAGGCGCGCAAAUUACCCAAUCCCGACACGGGGAGGUAGUGACAAUAAAUAACGAUACAGGGCCCUUUCGGGUCUUGUAAUUGGAAUGAGUACAAUGUAAAUACCUUAACGAGGAACAAUU
rnacentral:rRNA from 1 species